rnacentral:rRNA from 1 species
AUUGAGCGCUGGCGGCAGGCCUAACACAUGCAAGUCGAACGAGUGGCGGACGGGUGAGUAAUGCUUGGGACUCUAGCUUAUGGAGGGGGAUAACUACGGGAAACUGUAGCUAAUACCGCGUACCAUAGGAUGAGCCCAAGUGGGAUUAGGUAGUUGGUGAGGGAAAGGCUCACCAAGCCGACGAUCUCUAGCUGGUCGGAGAGGAGGACCAGCAACACUGGGACUGAUACACGGCCCAGACUCCUACGAGAGGCAGCAGUGGGGAAUAUUGCGGAAUGGGGGCAACCUGACGCAGCCAGGCAGCGUGAGUGAAGAAGUCCUUCGGGUUGUAAGGUUCUUUCGGUAGCGAGGCGUUAACAACAGAAGAAGCACCGGCUAACUCCGUGCCAGCAGCCGCGGUAAUAC